GCCGAUGACGAACAUGUCGAGCGCCGUCUUGUGCAUCGGUGGCGUCGUUGUUCCUGUGGGCAUGCACCAAGGACUAUUGCCUGGCGCGUCGCGUGCGCGCACCGGCAACGCGCGUACACACAUGACCAACCGCCUGACGCGUGCGAUCACGCGACGACGCGCGCCGCUGCAUCCGCAAACAUCACAAGCC
rnacentral:sRNA from 1 species